GAUUAAAAUUUUAAUAAAUCUCGUAUAUUUCCCGUAAUAUGGUCGGGAAGUUUCUACUAAAUGGCCACAAACCAUUUACCUACGGGAGAAACAUUAUCUGUA
rnacentral:ncRNA from 1 species